rnacentral:lncRNA from 1 species
GAGGCAGAUAGGGAGAAGCCAGGCAUGGCCAGUAAGAAAGUUCUAUUUCUUUCAUUUCAUUCUGAGGAUUCACGCUGCUGGCACUGGGGUCCGGAAAGCGAGGUGGGCUUGGAAAUUUGUGAAAUGCACUGGAGCGAACGCCUAGACUGCAGCUGGGCUCCAGGGGAGGGAAGGGCUGGGCUGGCGCGGGGAGGAGGAAGGAGGAAACCCAGUAGGAGGCGGAGAGAACGCACUAUAAAAGGCUCCUGCCUUGCACAGAGCCCGCCACUCCGAGCCACUUUGGGAAGGCCGGAGCCAGAGAAAGACCAAGAGCGAAGGAACGCGCGGUGCCACCGCGGUGACCUGCGCCCACAGCCGGACCUAGUGCGCUCUAGCAUCCCAAGAGAAGAUCCCACGUCCUCCUCUCCAUUCCGAUCCCUUCCUUCGCCAGCUCCCCCAUGCAAAGCAUGCGCCGCGCGCGGGAGCCCGAGGCUGCAGGGAGGUCAUGAGGCGGAGGCCGGGGAGCAGCGGCUGCGUUACGGCAGCCUCCAAGUCCCCUCCAGGCGCUGCGCCCCCGGGAUGAGUCCCCCAGACUCGACACAGCCAGAGCUGAGAGUCAGCGCUAGUGCCCUACCGACGUCCUGAGCGCCCGCUCUGCGGGCACCGCGCCCUGCAGCUUCCCGCCAAGACACCUGCGCGCCCAGCUGGACGCACGCCCCGCGUAUCGGCGCACCCUACUCACCUCCUUUCCCAAGCUCUACCGGGCGCAGUGGACGCGCGAUCCGCAGAACCCAGGGAUCCGGAGCAAGUGUCAAGACCCUUCCGGAACGACACUUUGUCACUCUCAUAUCCCCGCCUGCUUCGGGCAGGGAAGCACUGUCUCAGACAGACACCUGACUUGCCUAGAGCGCGCUCUGUUCUCCAUCACUACAACUCCAGCUCUACUUUGCCAAUAAAGAUUUCCAAACUCGCCUAGGCGCCCCCUACUCACCCGCUUUCCCGAGCCUCAGUGCGCCCAAGAGGGCGCUGCCCUCGGAGACCCCUGCAAGCUCUGCCGCACUCAGUUGGCACAGCCGAUCAGGCGCCCCGGCCACCCCAAAACAGUAUCAGCCUCCGUGUACCCGGGGCCCCCAUCUGGAGCCAGCCCACCCAGGACCAGGCGUGACGGGCGGCGGCGAGGCUGGCGGCCCGCAGGAGCGCGGCGUGCGGGAGGUGGUGAGCCGGCUUCUCCUCCUCCUCCAGCUUGUCGUCGACGUCCUCGUCCUCCUCGUCCUCCUCCUCCUCCUCGUCCUCCUCCUCCUCCUCGUCCUCCUCCUCCUCCUCCUCC